rnacentral:miRNA from 1 species
UUCCAGAUCUGGAGAGUGGAGCGG